rnacentral:rRNA from 1 species
UACGAAGGGGGCUAGCGUUGCUCGGAAUUACUGGGCGUAAAGCGCACGUAGGCGGGUCUUAAGUCGGGGGUGAAAUCCUGGAGCUCAACUCCAGAACUGCCUUCGAAACUGAAGAUCUUGAGUUCGGGAGAGGUGAGUGGAACUGCGAGUGUAGAGGUGAAAUUCGUAGAUAUUCGCAAGAACACCAGUGGCGAAGGCGGCUCACUGGCCCGAUACUGACGCUGAGGUGCGAAAGCGUGGGGAGCAAACAGG